rnacentral:snRNA from 1 species
AUGCUCACUUUGGCAACACAUACACUAAAAUUGGAACAAUACAGAGAUUACCAUGGCCCCUGUACAAAAAACAAAAGGGAAUACAUUUUU